rnacentral:rRNA from 1 species
CCUACGGGAGGCAGCAGUGGGGAAUAUUGCACAAUGGGGGAAACCCUGAUGGUGCGACGCCGCGUGGGGGAAUGAAGGUCUUCGGAUUGUAAACCCCUGUCAUGUGGGAGCAAAUUAAAAAGAUAGUACCACAAGAGGAAGAGACGGCUAACUCUGUGCCAGUAGCCGCGGUAAUACAGAGGUCUCAAGCGUUGUUCGGAAUCACUGGGCGUAAGGCGUGCGUAGGCUGUUUCGUAAGUCGUGUGUGAAAGGCGCGGGCUCAACCCGCGGACGGCACAUGAUACUGCGAGACUAGAGUAAUGGAGGGGGAACCGGAAUUCUCGGUGUAGCAGUGAAAUGCGUAGAUAUCGAGAGGAACACUCGUGGCGAAGGCGGGUUCCUGGACAUUAACUGACGCUGAGGCACGAAGGCCAGGGGAGCGAAAGGGAUUAGAUACCCGAGUAGUC